ACGCACGCUGGCGGCGUGCCUAAUCCAUGCAAGUAGAACGCUGAAGGCGGAGCUUGCUUCUCCGGAUGAGUUGCGAACGGGUGAGUAACGCGUAGGUAACCUGCCUGGUAGCGGGGGAUAACUAUUGGAAACGAUAGCUAAUACCGCAUAACAGUAGAUGUUGCAUGACAUUUGCUUAAAAGGUGCAAUUGCAUCACUACCAGAUGGACCUGCGUUGUAUUAGCUAGUUGGUGAGGUAACGGCUCACCAAGGCGACGAUACAUAGCCGACCUGAGAGGGUGAUCGGCCACACUGGGACUGAGACACGGCCCAGACUCCUACGGGAGGCAGCAGUAGGGAAUCUUCGGCAAUGGACGGAAGUCUGACCGAGCAACGCCGCGUGAGUGAAGAAGGUUUUCGGAUCGUAAAGCUCUGUUGUAAGAGAAGAACGAGUGUGAGAGUGGAAAGUUCACACUGUGACGGUAUCUUACCAGAAAGGGACGGCUAACUACGUG
rnacentral:rRNA from 1 species